rnacentral:rRNA from 1 species
GGAAGGGAUGUAUUUAUUAGAUAAAAAACCAACGCCCUUCGGGGCUCCUUGGUGAAUCAUAAUAACUUAACGAAUCGCAUGGCCUUGCGCCGGCGAUGGUUCAUUCAAAUUUCUGCCCUAUCAACUUUCGAUGGUAGGAUAGUGGCCUACCAUGGUGGCAACGGGUAACGGGGAAUUAGGGUUCGAUUCCGGAGAGGGAGCCUGAGAAACGGCUACCACAUCCAAGGAAGGCAGCAGGCGCGCAAAUUACCCAAUCCCGAUACGGGGAGGUAGUGACAAUAAAUACUGAUACGGGGCUCUUUUGGGUCUCGUAAUUGGAAUGAGAACAAUUUAAAUCCCUUAACGAGGAACAAUUGGAGGGCAAGUCUGGUGCCAGCAGCCGCGGUAAUUCCAGCUCCAAUAGCGUAUAUUAAAGUUGUUGCAGUUAAAAAGCUCGUAGUUGAACCUUGGGUCUGGCUGGCCGGUCCGCCUCACCGCGAGUACUGGUCCGGCUGGACCUUUCCUUCUGGGAACCUCAUGGCCUUCACUGGCUGUGGGGGGAACCAGGACUUUUAC